CAGGCACAUGAGGUGAAAUGAGGCAGGCGCUGGGGCCCUCAGGAAAAUUCAGGCCAGGCUGCUUGCCCAAGCGGUCCAUUCAUUAUCUAUUCUUUCUCUCAUUAUUAACUGAGUCCCCUCCAUGAGCCACGCGGCACUGAAGCUGUGGAAACAGCGGUGAGUCAGAAAGGAGGGCCCCACCCUCCCGAGGCUUACCUUCUAGUGGGGGAAGUGAGCAACAAGCAGAUGCAUACAGGUUGUAUGUCAUAGGCUAUCACGUCCUGAUAAGAGCUAUGAAGAAAAAGAAGGCAAGAGAAAGGACAUAGCGAAUGAUACGGUCCAUGAGUGUGGGGCUGGAGGGCUACAAUUUUAAAUAGGAAAGUCAGAGAGGGCUUCUGAGAAGAUGGCAGGUCACAAGGACUGAAAGAAAUGAGAGACUGAGCCAGGUCAUGCCACGAUCCAGGGAGAAGAGGAAAAGCUAGCUAUGUGUAGCCUACAGCAUCAGGAUACCAGGAGCAUUGAGAGAAUCAAGAUAAAUCCCGCACGUGCUGAUGUUUAUGACGAGCUGAUUGCUACACGCUGUCGAGGAGGAGUCUGUCCUUCUCCGGUUCUAGUCCUGGGGCCCCAGAGAACAGAGCUGGACGUGGGACGCCCGCCUCUCCAAUAGGAUUCUGUGUUUACUGGUGUGUUACCUGUGUGUGUGGGUGAUGCAUCAGGCACCAGGGGCACACUGUGGGGUGAGAGAAGCUCCCUGCCCACGAGGAGCUCUCAGCCAGAGGGCUUCGGACAGUCCGGGAGAAGGAGAGAGGAUGGGCCCCUGCAGAUCCCACCCCCGGAAACAGUGAGGGCCACAGCCUGCCUAGAAGUCCCUCCUGGGACAAGUCCUUCCAGCCUCUCCUGAAAGCACAUUCAGACUCUGCCUCGGUCCCCGUCUUCACCCUUUCCUGCCGGAUCAGGAAGGAGCUGGGUCUCUAAUUCUGGGUGACCGAAAACAAUAAAAUGCAUGAACAGCAACAGUGGAAAGAGCGACUAUUUAAUAGCUGAGUGUAGUGAGCAGACAAGGAGCGCUGGUUUCCCUAACACUCGCUCCACAGCGCAGAGAAGAGGAAAAACAUUAUUGUUACUCUGAGAGCUAAUCACAGCCUCUAUAUUCACCUCCUCACAAGACAGGAGGGCUGGUGGCCAAAUCAGAUGUGGCUUAAGCAGAGCUAUGAAGUCUCGGACUCUAGGAGCAUGACCGUCGCUCAGCUGACUCCCUGCUGCUUGCAGGAGGGCAGGGGGAGGAAGGGAAAAGAACGAGGGCUGGGGGGACACAUAGCCUGGUGGGCAGAGCCCCUGCCUGCCAAGUGUUUCCUCUACGGGAUUCACUGGCUGAGGAUGCUCCUUGCUCUGACCCCGAUCUUCACUCCCAUGUCCCUGCUGUGGUACCCGGGUCCCUUGGAGGAUGCAAGCGGGGUUGCUAAGAGGGUGAGAACAGGGCCGGGAAGAGCAAAAGUAGAUGCUCACCAGGUCAAGUUCCAGGAGGUCAGUCCUAGAGGAGAGAGUGAUGGACCAGGGAGCUGAGGGGGAGAAGCAGGAAGGGUGUAGCUGAGUAUGGACCACACCGUGGAAUAUAUUUUGAGGGAGUAGAUGUAUUUUGAUGGGGUGGAGACUGCCCCCCCAGAGCAGCAAUUCUUAGCCAGGGGUCACACGUUAUGCUGGGGUGAGAGUCCCUGAAAGAGUCACUUAGGUGAUUUUUUUACACAGCACUGCCUACCCCACCCCAGCAUCAGAUGAAUGCUUUGUCCAGGGGGGAAUCCCCGUACUUCCUCUUCGUGGCCACGUGAGCUCUGCCAUUUGUUAAUGGAAGUGUGCUGUAUCCCUCAGAGGAAAGAGCUCAUCCGGGGAGAGAAGAGUGGCUCAAGGGAACAGUCACACACGAGGAAUGAAGGCAGGACAGACAGGCCCACGAGAGAGCACAGUUUAGGACCGUGCACCUUGAACCUGUGCCCCGUGCAGAACGCGACAGCACAGAGCAGCCCAGGGUGGCUUGGAGGGGAUGCAGCCCGCCUUCUUCAGAUAUGGGGCAGGGACAGGUAUGGGAGGCACAUGCUUUAAGCUUGGCCUUGUCUGGUGAGGUUUACUGGGCCUCCCACGUUCUCUCACUCAGUCCUCCCACUGGGCAGGGCACUCGCUGGCGGGGUGAAGGGUAGCCCCGGGGCUGGAGAACACAGCAGACCCACCUGUGCCACCGUGGGCCUCGUCUAACUGGUGAGCAUCCCCAGGCGCCCUGGUCUGGGCGGUCUCUCAGCCAAUGCCCUUUCCUGCUCCCCGGGCCCCCAUUAGCUUCAGAUUUUCACGGCCUGAGCUGAGAGAGGGUGAGACCCAGGGACACAGCAGAGUAAGACACAUCAGGGCAGAUUUCAGGAAGAAACAGGGAGAGCGGAGGAGAGGGGCUCAGAGGGCCCACGUGUGGGCAGGCAGUGGAGGAAUGGGGCGGACGUGGGUGAGGACGGGGUGGAAGGGGUGGGCAGGAGGGCAGCGGU